AAUAGCUGUCUACUAUUUUUAAAAUGGAAAACAUCCAUAUAUCCAAAAACAAAACAAAUAAAUCUCAAAGACAAAAAACAGUCUCUGAGGCAAAGAUUAAGCUCCCUAAAUAAGGAAUACCUACAAAUCAAUUACAAAAAGAAAAUCAAUCUUAAGGAAAAGUCAGCAUAACAUGAGAACAUGCAAUUCACUGGAAACAAUAAAUAGCCAAAAAAUGUUCAGAAAGAUGCUAUAUCUCAACAAGCAAAAAAUGCAAAAUUAAAUCAUUACAUAUUUUAAAGAUUAUCAAAAAUUCAAAAUUGACAGUGUUGUUGAUGUUAUUUCUAUCAAAUCUUUAAGUGUGCAUACUUUGACCUUGAAACUAUCCUACAAAAAUUGCUCAGAUGUACAUGAAGUAUUAAUGUAAGGUGACUUUACUAGCAAAUAAUUAUAAAUCUAAGUAUCCAUUAACCAACAGCAGAAUAGUUAAUAAGAGCAUGAUGCAUCCAUUUCUAUAGGUAGGAAUAAAUCUCCAACAUACCAAAUGAAAAAAAAUGUCAAAGAAUAUUAUGUACAGUAUGAUCGUAAUAUAUUUUUAAAAGAAAACAAUGUUAUAUGAAAACAUACAGGUAACAGUAUUUUGUGAUUUUCAGAGAUUAAUGAAUUUUAGGUCUAGUAAAGAAGUUCAAAGUAAGCCUAAGAUAUUAUUUGGCUAGGAAACAAGAAAGCACUCAAAAACCAAUGCAGUUAUGUCAAAGGACAAAGGAGCCAGCUUAAAAAGUUCCCACUGGCCAAAUUUCAGACAGCUGGAUCAUCAAAAGGUAACUGUAACUGGUGUUAUAGUCUUUGGCCACACACGUUAGUAGUAGUACUCAAGAGCCAUAAACUUCUAUGUCCAUGAAACACACAAACACAUUAAAAUAAAAAAAAAAAAAAAAGCAGAGAUACAA